UACGUAGGGGGCGAGCGUUGUCCGGAUUUAUUGGGCGUAAAGAGCGUGUAGGCGGUUCGGUAAGUCUGUCGUGAAAUCCUGAGGCUCAACCUCGGGCGUGCGAUGGAUACUGCCGGGCUAGAGGGUGGUAGAGGCGAGUGGAAUUCCCGGUGUAGCGGUGAAAUGCGCAGAUAUCGGGAGGAACACCGGUGGCGAAGGCGGGUCUCUGGGCCGAUACUGACGCUGAGGAGCGAAAGCGUGGGGAGCGAACAGG
rnacentral:rRNA from 1 species